CGCUUCAACCACAUACAUUCAAUCAUCUCUCAUGUGGAAGAAAAUGGAAUGAAGCCAGAUUCAAUUUUUUACAAUGCUGUUGUCAAUGCAUUUGCUGAAUCUGGCAAUAUGGAGGAAGCCAUGGAAACUUUGUUGAAGAUGAAGGAGAGUGGGAUGAAACCGACAACUAGCACUUUCAACACUUUGAUUAAAGGAUAUGGGCUCAUUGGAAAGCCUGAAGAAUCUUUGAAGGUACUUGAGUUGAUGUCUAAGGAGGAAAACAUAAAGCCCAAUUUGAGGACCUACAAUGUACUCAUUAGAGCAUGGUGUAAUAAAAAGAACUUGAAAGAGGCUUGGAAUGUGAUUUCUAAGAUGGUAACUUCUGGUUUGCGACCUGAUGCUGUAACUUACAACACCAUUGCAACAGCAUAU
rnacentral:lncRNA from 1 species